rnacentral:rRNA from 1 species
GAUGAACGCUGGCGGCGUGCCUAAUACAUGCAAGUCGAGCGAACAGACGAGGAGCUUGCUCCUCUGACGUUAGCGGCGGACGGGUGAGUAACACGUGGAUAACCUACCUAUAAGACUGGGAUAACUUCGGGAAACCGGAGCUAAUACCGGAUAAUAUAUUGAACCGCAUGGUUCAAUAGUGAAAGACGGUUUUGCUGUCACUUAUAGAUGGAUCCGCGCCGCAUUAGCUAGUUGGUAAGGUAACGGCUUACCAAGGCAACGAUGCGUAGCCGACCUGAGAGGGGGAACGGCCACAACGGAACUGAGACACGGUUCAGACCUCUAAGGGAGGCAGGAGGAGGGAAUCUUUCGGCAUGGGCGGAAGCCCGAUGGAGGAACGGCGGGGUAGGGAUGAAGGGCCUUGGAUCGGAAAACCUUUGUUAUAGGGAAAAACAAAUGGGGAAGGUAACAAGGCAGUUCUGAAGGGAACCAAUUAGAAAGACCCCGGCUACCUAGGU